rnacentral:misc_RNA from 1 species
CACAAUAUUACGGGGGGCCGGACCCAAGUCUGUCUUCAAACCGCAGCUUGACCCGCCCUGUCUGAUAUUCUACCCAUGUCUUUUGCGUACUUUUUCGUUUCCUUGGUAGGCUUGCCUGCCGAUAGGACAACCAUUAAAACCUUUUUGUAAUUGCAAUCAGCGUCAGAAAAAAACUUAAUAGUUA